rnacentral:rRNA from 1 species
UACAGAGGGUGCGAGCGUUAAUCGGAUUUACUGGGCGUAAAGCGUACGUAGGCGGCUUUUUAAGUCGGAUGUGAAAUCCCUGAGCUUAACUUAGGAAUUGCAUUCGAUACUGGGAAGCUAGAGUAUGGGAGAGGAUGGUAGAAUUCCAGGUGUAGCGGUGAAAUGCGUAGAUAUCGGGAGGAACAUCAGUGGCGAAGGCGGCACUCUGGACUGAUACUGACACUGAGGUGCGAAAGCGUGGGUAGCGAACAGG